GCAUAGCUCAGUGGUAGAGCGGAUGGCUGUUAACCAUUAGGUCGCUGGUUCGAGCCCAGCUG
rnacentral:tRNA from 1 species